rnacentral:rRNA from 1 species
UUCCUACGGGAGGCAGCAGUGGGGAAUUUGGACUGGGCGAAAGUCUGAUCCACAAUACCACGUGAAUGAUGAAGGCAUGAGGGUUGUAAAGUUCUUUUAGUAGGGAAGAUAAUGACGGUACCUACAGAAAAAGCCCCGGCUAACUCCGUGCCAGCAGCCGCGGUAAGACGGAGGGGGCUAGCGUUGUUCGGAAUUACUGGGCGUAAAGAGCACGUAGGCGGAAUGGUAAGUUAGAAGUGAAAGCCCAGGGCUUAACCCUGGAAUUGCUUUUAAAACUGCCAAUCUAGAGUUUAGUAGGGGGUGAUGGAAUUCCUAGUGUAGAGGUGAAAUUCUUAGAUAUUAGGAGGAACACCGGUGGCGAAGGCGGUCACCUGGGCUAAAACUGACGCUGAGGUGCGAAAGCGUGGGGAGCAAACAGGAUUAGAUCCCUGGUAGUCCACGCUGUAAACGAUGAGUGCUAGAUAUCGGGAAUUUUAUUUUCGGUUUCGCAGCUAACAUUAAGCACUCCGCCUGGGGAGUACGGUCGCAAGAUUAAAACUCAAAGGAAUUGACGGGGGCUCGCACAAGCGGUGGAGCAUGCGGUUUAUUUCGAUGCUACGCGAAAAACCUUACCAACCCUUGACAUGGUGGUCGCGGAUCACAGAGAUGAGAUCCUUCAGUUCGGCUGGACCACACACAGGUGUUGCAUGGCGUCGUCAGCUCGUGUCGUGAGAUGUUGGGUUAAGUCCCGCAACGAGCGCAACCCUCAUCCUUAUUUGCCAGCGAUUCGGUCGGGAACUAUAAGGAAACUGCCGGUGACAAACCGGAGGAAGGUGGGGACGAUGUCAAGUCAUCAUGGCCCUUACGGGUUGGGCUACACGCGUGCUACAAUGGUAGUUACAAUGGGAAGCAAUACAGCGAUGUGGAGCAAAUCCCAAAAAGCUAUCUCAGUUCGGAUUGUUCUC